rnacentral:pre_miRNA from 1 species
AUCUACUUCAAAUCAAUGGCAUCUUCAAGUUCUGCUGGUGGUUCUUCAUCAAAUAUGGAUAUAGAUACUCCAGCAUAUGAAAUCAAAGGAAGAACUAUGUCUAUUGAGGAAUAGGAGUUAAUCAUUCAAGCGGAAAAUCCAGUGGAUUUCACUUCUCUAACUCACCAUGGGUGCGACUUGGUAAGAUUCUACAAGAAGCAGAA